AUUGAACGCUGGCGGCAGGCCUAACACAUGCAAGUCGAACGAGUGGCGGACGGGUGAGUAAUGUCUGGGAAACUGCCUGAUGGAGGGGGAUAACUACUGGAAACGGUAGCUAAUACCGCAUACCAUCGGAUGUGCCCAGAUGGGAGUAGCUAGUAGGUGGGGUAAAGGCUCACCUAGGCGACGAUCCCUAGCUGGUCUGAGAGGAUGACCAGCCACACUGGAACUGAGGCACGGUCCAGAGUCCUACGGGAGGCAGCAGUGGGGAAGAUUGCGCAGUGGGCGCGAGCCUGAUGCAGCCAUGCCGCGUGUAUGAAGAAGGCCUGCGGGUUGUAGAGUACUUUCAGCGGGGAGGCGUUACCCGCAGAAGAGGCACCGGCUGACGCCGUGCCGGCAGCCGCGGUAAUAC
rnacentral:rRNA from 1 species